GAUUUCUGACUUGGCGCACCUGGCCCGCCACGGUUACGUGUGUGAGUGCCGGGAUGCGCCUGUCACUGUUCUGGUAAACUAUUGUGCUCUUCAUUGGGUGUGAUAGGUAGCCAGAUAUUUUACUUUGAAAAAAUUAGAGUGUUUAAAGCAGGCGUUUGCUAUGAAUACAUUAGCAUGGAAUAAUCAUUUAGGACUUCGGUUCUAUUUUGUUGGUUUCGAGAGCUGAAGUAAUGAUUGAUAGGGAUAGUUGGGGGUGCUAGUAUUCAGAGGCCAGAGGUGAAAUUCUUGGAUUCUCUGAAGACUAACUUAUGCGAAAGCAUU
rnacentral:rRNA from 1 species